UACGGAGGUGGCAAGCGUUGUUCGGAAUUACUGGGCGUAAAGGGCGCGUAGGCGGCUUGGCAAGUCAGAUGUGAAAGCCCCGGGCUUAACUCGGGAAUUGCAUCUGAAACUGCUGAGCUUGAGUCCUGGAGGGGGCAGUGGAAUUCCCAGUGUAGCGGUGAAAUGCGUAGAUAUUGGGAGGAACACCGGCGGCGAAGGCGGCUGCCUGGACAGUGACUGACGCUGAUGCGCGAAAGCUAGGGGAGCAAACGGG
rnacentral:rRNA from 1 species